UACAGAGGCCUCGAGCGUUAUUCGGAAUUAUUGGGCGUAAAGGGUGCGUAGGUGGUUUGGUUAGUCGUCCGUGAAAUAUCCUCGCUCAACGGGGAAAACGCGAACGAAACGGCCAGACUCGAGUAGGUGAGAGGUGAAUGGAACUCAUGGAGGAGGGGUGAAAUCCGUUGAUAUCAUGGGGAACACCAAAUGCGAAGGCAAUUCACUGGCGCCUUACUGACACUCAAGCACGAAAGCGUAGGUAG
rnacentral:rRNA from 1 species